CCCUUAGAUGUCCUGGGCCGCACGCGUGCUACACUGACACUUACACCGAGUUUUUCCAAUGCCGAAAGGCCAUUGGUAAUCAGCAAUAAGUGUCGUGAUGGGGAUAGAUCUUUGGAAUUAUUGAUCUUGAACGAGGAAUGCCUAGUAAUCGUAGGUCAUCAGCCUGCGAUGAUUACGUCCCUGCCCUUUGUACACACCGCCCGUCGCCCCUACCGAUUUCGAGUGGUUCGGUGAACCUUUCGGACCGGCAAUGCCUCGUGUUGCGCCGGAAAGUCAAGUAAACCAUAUCACUUAGAGGAAGGAGAANUCGUANCA
rnacentral:rRNA from 1 species